UCUCUUUCUUUCUCUAACUGAUUAACACGUUUUGUGUAGUUACUUAGAACUUGCUAGAAAUUAAUUAGUUAGAUACGUUGGUCUUUGAUUUGAAUCUGUUAUCUCUGUUACAACCGUUAUUGGAUUGUUAAGUACGCGAUCUGCAUCGUGAUCUGAUCGUAGUAGACAAGGGUCGAUCGCUGGGUUUCACUUGAUCAAAUUCUGUUGAAUAAUACUUGAAUAUGUUGGAGAUUAUUAUAGUGUAUUUUGGCAAUUUAAUUUAAAAAGAAAAAGAAAAAGUGGAAGUAUAAGUAUUUUUUUGUUGUCAAGUAAGUCGGUGGCUAGAAUUUCAUGAACAAGUGGUGUGUCGGGUUUCGAACUUCGGCUCUGCAUAUAAAACACGACGUCUCUAUCAAUCGAACUAAGUUUACUGGACAGAAAUAUAAAUAUCUAAUAGGCAGAUUAUCUGGUUUUUAGUAUGAUUAAAGAAAAUCAUGUCAAUUAUAUUUCAUAAAGUGAACAUAUAUGGUGUAACUUUAGCAAAAAUUUUAAGGAAAUUUUAACGGCACUCUUUGAGUAUCUUAAACAGUAAGUCUUUGUAAAAUUUUUAUGGAAAUGUGUAACACAUCAGUAAUUAAAAUGUUUCACUUUUUGAAUAAAUAAUUUCUUUAAAUAGAAUGCUUAAAGAGUGUCUCGGGACACUUGUUAGCAAACCCAAAUUUUAAUAAGUAAAAUACCUAAUAAUAGUAAUACUAAUUUCAAAAUGUUAUGCUUUAAUUCUUGGGAAUGUAUUGUUAUUUGUGUCCUAGAAUCGAUGAUUUUUAUCAUAAAAAUAAAAGAAUUGAUGAUUUUCAUUUUGAGUAAAAAUGUUGAGAAACUCAUUUUAUUCUACACCUGCCACACCACCUACCAAUCACAUUAAAAAACGUGAUUAAUUCAGUUCACUAGAUGAUUAAUUCAAUUCAUUGUCAAAAUUAUGGUUAAUUCAACUAGAUGAUUAACUACAAUUUCACAAUUUUGAACUUUGUAUAAAUUAAUUAUUUGCUCAAUCAAAUUAACCACAAUUUUACAUGUGAUUAGCUAGAUGUCGCAGUAUAGAGAAAAUUGGAUGUCAAACAUUUUUUGUUUAAUUUUUAUGUUGUGAUUGUGGCCUUGUUGUGAUUUCUGUUACUGCAAUUGCCAGCAUUGCAGUGCAGGAUGUCAUUGAUUUCUGCAGUGUUUUAUUUUUUUUAAGUUUGCAAAGGUGAAUUUUUUAUAUUUUAAAUUAAAGAUGUAAUUAACGGAAUGAAAUUGAGGCCACAACGCAUCCGUUCCCUUCAUGCUUUAUUUAUUUGUUUUUUAAUAGAUGAUGCAGUGCAGCACUGAAAAUCUCAAAGGAAUUAAAAAAUAUAUAGUCCCAUUAGAUUUAAAUUUGCAUAGAAGCUAUUGUCUAUGUUAUGAUAAAAUAUUGUGCAGACAGAUAAACUUUACAGGAAUUGAAUUUAAUGCCAUAUGAUAAAAUAUUCAUAUGAAGCUGUUGUUGACCUUCAAUUAUGCCAGUGAACCCCUGCAUUUUGUUUUCCUGUCUGACUUUUAUUCUACAUUCUCAAUCUGCAUUUUUUUGUGACAUGAACAAUAAUAGUAUAGGAAAAA